GACGAACGCUGGCGGCGUGCCUAAUACAUGCAAGUAGAACGCUGAAGAGAGGAGCUUGCUCUUCUUGGAUGAGUUGCGAACGGGUGAGUAACGCGUAGGUAACCUGCCUUGUAGCGGGGGAUAACUAUUGGAAACGAUAGCUAAUACCGCAUAACAAUGGAUGACACAUGUCAUUUAUUUGAAAGGGGCAAUUGCUCCACUACAAGAUGGACCUGCGUUGUAUUAGCUAGUAGGUGAGGUAACGGCUCACCUAGGCGACGAUACAUAGCCGACCUGAGAGGGUGAUCGGCCACACUGGGACUGAGACACGGCCCAGACUCCUACGGGAGGCAGCAGUAGGGAAUCUUCGGCAAUGGGGGCAACCCUGACCGAGCAACGCCGCGUGAGUGAAGAAGGUUUUCGGAUCGUAAAGCUCUGUUGUAAGUCAAGAACGAGUGUGAGAGUGGAAAGUUCACACUGUGACGGUAGCUUACCAGAAAGGGACGGCUAACUACGUGCCAGCAGCCGCGGUAAUACGUAGGUCCCGAGCGUUGUCCGGAUUUAUUGGGCGUNAAGCGAGCGCAAGCGGUUUGAUAAGUCUGAAGUUAAAGGCUGUGGCUCAACCAUAGUUCGCUUUGGAAACUGUCAAACUUGAGUGCAGAAGGGGAGAGUGGAAUUCCAUGUGUAGCGGUGAAAUGCGUAGAUAUAUGGAGGAACACCGGUGGCGAAAGCGGCUCUCUGGUCUGUAACUGACGCUGAGGCUCGAAAGCGUGGGGAGCGAACAGGAUUAGAUACCCUGGUAGUCCACGCCGUAAACGAUGAGUGCUAGGUGUUGGAUCCUUUCCGGGAUUCAGUGCCGCAGCUAACGCAUUAAGCACUCCGCCUGGGGAGUACGACCGCAAGGUUGAAACUCAAAGGAAUUGACGGGGGCCCGCACAAGCGGUGGAGCAUGUGGUUUAAUUCGAAGCAACGCGAAGAACCUUACCAGGUCUUGACAUCCCGAUGCUAUUUCUAGAGAUAGAAAGUUACUUCGGUACAUCGGUGACAGGUGGUGCAUGGUUGUCGUCAGCUCGUGUCGUGAGAUGUUGGGUUAAGUCCCGCAACGAGCGCAACCCCUAUUGUUAGUUGCCAUCAUUCAGUUGGGCACUCUAGCGAGACUGCCGGUAAUAAACCGGAGGAAGGUGGGGAUGACGUCAAAUCAUCAUGCCCCUUAUGACCUGGGCUACACACGUGCUACAAUGGUUGGUACAACGAGUUGCGAGUCGGUGACGGCAAGCUAAUCUCUUAAAGCCAAUCUCAGUUCGGAUUGUAGGCUGCAACUCGCCUACAUGAAGUCGGAAUCGCUAGUAAUCGCGGAUCAGCACGCCGCGGUGAAUACGUUCCCGGGCCU
rnacentral:rRNA from 1 species